rnacentral:rRNA from 1 species
AUUGAACGCUGGCGGCAGGCCUAACACAUGCAAGUCGAGCGGGGUUUUCGGACCUAGCGGCGGACGGGUGAGUAAUGCGUAGGAAGCUACCCGAUAGAGGGGGAUACCAGUUGGAAACGACUGUUAAUACCGCAUAAUGUCUACGGACCAAAGUGUGGGACCUUCGGGCCACAUGCUAUCGGAUGCGCCUACGUGGGAUUAGCUAGUUGGUGAGGUAAUGGCUCACCAAGGCGACGAUCCCUAGCUGGUUUGAGAGGAUGAUCAGCCACACUGGACCUGAGACACGGUCCAGACUCCUACGGGAGGCAGCAGUGGGGAAUAUUGGACAAUGGGCGCAAGCCUGAUCCAGCCAUGCCGCGUGUGUGAAGAAGGCCUUCGGGUUGUAAAGCACUUUCAGUAGGGAGGAAGCGUUGUGUGUUAAUAGUACACAGCGUUGACGUUACCUACAGAAGAAGCACCGGCUAACUCUGUGCCAGCAGCAGCCGCGGUAA